rnacentral:misc_RNA from 1 species
GAUGAAGAACGCAGCGAAAUGCGAUAAGUAAUGUGAAUUGCAGAAUUCAGUGAAUCAUCGAAUCUUUGAACGCACCUUGCGCUCCUUGGUAUUCCGAGGAGCAUGCCUGUUUGAGUGUCAUUAAUAUAUCAACCUCUUCAGCUUAUGCUUGUUGAGUGUUGGAUGGUGGGGGUUUGCUGGUGUCUUAUGAAGUCAGCUCCUCUGAAAUGCAUUAGCGGAACAAUUUGUUGACCGUUCAUUGGUGGGAUAAAAAUAUCUACGCUAUUGACGUCAGUCAGUUCAGCUUCUAACAGUCCAUUGACUUGGACAAAUUUUUCAUUAAUGUGACCUCAAAUCAGGUAGGACUACCCGCUGAACUUAAGCAUAUCAAUAAGCGGAGGA